rnacentral:rRNA from 1 species
CGGCAACGGAUAUCUCGGCUCUCGCAUCGAGGAAGAACGUAGCGAAAUGCGAUACUUGGUGUGAAUUGCAGAAUCCCGUGAACCAUCGAGUCUUUGAACGCAAGUUGCGCCCGAAGCCAUCAGGCCGAGGGCACGCCUGCCUGGGCGUCACACGCCGUUGCCCCC